rnacentral:rRNA from 1 species
CCUACGGGAGGCAGCAGUGGGGGAUAUUGCACAAUGGGGGGAACCCUGAUGCAGCGACGCCGCGUGGGUGAAGGAGUGCUUCGGCAUGUAAAGCCCUAUCGGCAGGGAAGAAGCAAGACGGUGCCUGACUAAGAAGCCCCGGCUAACUACGUGCCAGCAGCCGCGGUAAUACGUAGGGGGCGAGCGUUAUCCGGAUUCACUGGGUGUAAAGGGAGCGUAGACGGAAAGGCAAGUCAGAAGUGAAAACCCAAGGCUCAACCAUGGGACUGCUUUUGAAACUGUCAAACUAG